UGCCCCGAACCAGGAUCGAACUGGUGACCUUACGAUCUUCAGUCGUACGCUCUCCCAACUGAGCUAUCGAGGCAC
ensembl:ncRNA K08B5.5 ncRNA